GUGCUGAUGAAGAGUCCUAAAUUAGGACGAAACAGUCGUCCAGUAC
rfam:Trichobilharzia regenti genome assembly, scaffold: TRE_scaffold0028848